rnacentral:rRNA from 1 species
AUCAACGCUAGGGCGGCGUGCCUAACACAUGCAAGUCGAACGCGAAAGUCCCGCAAGGGAUCAGUAGAGUGGCAAACGGGUGAGUAACACGUGGGUGGACCUGCCUUCGAGUGGGGGAUAACGUCCCGAAAGGGACGCCUAAUACCGGCAUGACAUCCUGCCGUUGAACCGGUGGUGAAUCAAAGCUGGGGAUCGCAAGACCUAGCGCUUGAAGAGAGGGGCCCGCGCCCGAUUAGCUAGUGUUGGUGAGGGUAACGGCUCACCAAGGCGACGAUCGGUAGCCGGCCCUGAGAGGGCGGACGGCCACACUGGGACUGAGACACGGCCCAGACUCCUACGGGAGGGCAGCAGUGGGGAAUUGUUCGCAAUGGGCGCAAGCCUGACGACGCAACGCCGCGUGGAGGAUGAAGAUCUUCGGGUCGUAAACUCCUUUCGAUCGAUGACGAAUUCCCCGCGGGGAUGAACAAUCUCUGGGGUUGACGGUACCGAGAGAAGAAGCCCGGCCUAACUCCGUGCCAGCAGGCGCGCCGGUAAUACGGGGUGGGGGCCAAGCGUUGUUCGGAAUUACUGGGCGUAAAGGGCUCGUAGGCGGCCAACUAAGUCGGACGUGAAGUCCCUCGGCUUAACCGGGGAACUGCGUCCGAUAACUGGAUGGCUUGAAUCCGGGAGAGGGAUGCGGAAUUCCAGGUGUAGUAGCGGUGAAAUGGCGUAGAUAUCUGGAGGAACACCGGUGGCGAAGGCGGCAUCCUGGACCGGCAUUGCCGACUGCAUGACGCUGAGGAGCGAAAGCCAGGGGAGCAAACGGGAUUAGAUACCCCGGUAGUCCUGGCCCCUAAGCGAUGAAUGCUUGGUGUGGCGGGUUAUCGAUCCCUGCCGUGCCGAAGCUAACGCAAUUAAGCAUUCCGCCUGGGGGAGUAACUGGUCGCAAGGCCUGAAACUCCAUAAGGAAUUGACGGGGGCCCCGCACAAGCGGUGGAGGCAUGUGGUUCAAUUCGACGCAACGCGAAGAACCUUACCCAGGCUUGAACAGCGAGUGACCAUCGACGAAAGUCGACUUCCGCAAGGACACUCGUAGAGGUGCUGGCAUGGCUGUCGUCAGCUCGUGUCGUGAGAUGUUGGGUUAAGUCCCGCAACGAGCGCAACCUCUUGUUCUGCCUGUUGCCCAUCAGGUUAUGCCUGGGCACUCUGCAAAGACUGCCGGGUGAUAAACCGGAGGAAGGUGGGGAUGACGUCAAUUCAGCAUGGCCUUUAUGUCUGGGGGCUACACACGUGCUACAAUGGCCGGUACAAACCGUCGCGAUACCGCAAUGGUGGAGGCUAAUCGGAGAUAGGCUCGGUCUCAGGUUCGGAUAGCAGGCUGCAACUCGCCUGCUUGAAGUUGGAAUCGCUAGUAAUCGCGCGAUCAGCACGCCGCGGUGAAUACGUUUCCGGCCUGGCCCUUGUACACACCGCCCGUCACAUCACGAAAGCGCGGUUUGCUACUAGAAGUCGCCAUACCAACCGCAAGGGAGGAGAGGCGCCUAUAGGUAUGGUCGGUGUAUGGGGUG